CAGAUUAAUGUACUCGCUCCUUUUCCGCUAAAAGGGCGAACUACCGAUUCGUAAGUUACAGGGUGGGAUAAAGAACAGAAAAUGUGUACACAAGUUGCAGGACGCACCACCAAUGUGAUUGCUCCAUCAGAUCUGAAUCUGAUACAUGAGUUCCCUGAUUAAUGCUGGUUGGUCCUAAUGGUGAGAUUUGUUGACAACUAAUCUGGAUAUAAGAGGCGUGAGAUGCGUAAAUGAAAGAUGUAUUGUUAUGAUGGUAAACUGUAGAGCAGAUGGGAUUCGAGGGAGCACCUGCUUGAUUACUGUAUAAUGGUAAAUUGUACAGCAGAUGGGAUUCGAGGGUGCACCGGCUUGAUGUGGCAGAAUUUUGGCAGGAGGAUGACGCCGGCCUGGACCCGGCUUGCGGACGUUGAGGACGACGCCAAGAGAGGUGCGGCCUGGGGACGAGGAGGACAAGGGAAGCCGGCCGGGCACUGACUGGUGAGGUCGUCGACGGAGGAGACCAGACGUAGCCGGCAGAGCGCACCGCUCGGGGUGAGGCUUGGAGCCGCCGCAGAUUGGAUAUGGUGGGUUGAAGAAAUUGGGAGCGGAAAAG
rnacentral:lncRNA from 1 species